GGUUGUGGCUCAAGUGGUAGCGCGCUCGCCUGGCAUGUGUGAAGCACUGGGUUCAAUCCUCAGCACCA
rnacentral:tRNA from 1 species